rnacentral:rRNA from 1 species
CGCGUCCAAUUAGCUAGUUGGUGAGGUAACGGCCCACCAAGGCGACGAUUGGUAGCCGGACUGAGAGGUUGAACGGCCACAUUGGGACUGAGACACGGCCCAGACUCCUACGGGAGGCAGCAGUGGGGGAUAUUGCACAAUGGAGGAAACUCUGAUGCAGCGACGCCGCGUGAGGGAAGACGGUUUUCGGAUUGUAAACCUCUGUCUUCAGGGACGAAAUGAAUGACGGUACCUGAGGAGGAAGCUCCGGCUAACUAC